AGAAAGACUCACAGCUGGAAUCAGCGCCAAAGGUGCUUCUACAAAGUAUUGACUCUGGGGGGUGUGAAAACUUAUGUAAAUGAGAUAUUACUGUAUUUCUGUAAUACAACAAAUAAAAUGUCAUCUAAAAACAUGUUUUCACUUUGUCAUUAUGGGGUAUUGUGUGUACAGGCAGCAGGACAGGCAGGUGUACAGACAGCACGUCAGGCAGGUGUACAGGCAGCAGGACAGGCAGGUGUACAGGUGCCAGGACAGGCAGGUGUGCAGGCGCCAGGACAGGCAGGUGUGCAGGCAGGUGUACAGUCAGCAGGACAGGCAGGUGUACAGUAAGCAGGUCAGGCAGGUGUACAGGCAGCAGGACAGGCAGGUGUACAGGCAGCAGGACAGGCAGGUGUACAGCCUCAACAACCUGUUAUAUAGACACAUCAUAAGAGCUACAGGACCUCCAUUAAAAUGGUCUUAUUACUCAGAGAAGUGACCAAGACAUUCAAAAGUAAACAUGUAUUUAUGUUUUCAUACACACACACACACACACACACACACACACACACACACACACACACACACACACACACACACACACACACACACACACACACACACACACACACACACACACACACACACAUACAUACAUACAUACAUACGACUACAAAUGACCACAAAUUUAUUACAAAUCACGUCAUUAACAUUUCAAAA
rnacentral:lncRNA from 1 species